rnacentral:tRNA from 1 species
GCCCCAGUAGCUCAGUGGAUUAGAGCAUCUGACUUCGGAUCAGAGGGUCGUGGGUUCGAAUCCUACCUGGGGUA